rnacentral:rRNA from 1 species
GAUGAACGCUAGCGGGAGGCCUAAUACAUGCAAGUCGAGCGGUAGAGUGACUUCGGUUGCUUGAGAGCGGCGAACGGGUGAGUAACGCGUACACAAUCUACCUUUAAGAGGGGAAUAGCCCUGGGAAACUGGGAUUAAUGCCCCAUGGCAUCACGAAGUGGCAUCGCUUUGUGAUUAAAGCUGAGGUGCUUAGAGAUGAGUGUGCGUCUGAUUAGCUAGUUGGUGCGGUAACGGCGCACCAAGGCGACGAUCAGUAGGGGGCGUGAGAGCGUGGACCCCCACACGGGUACUGAGACACGGACCCGACUCCUACGGGAGGCAGCAGUAAGGAAUAUUGGACAAUGGGCGCAAGCCUGAUCCAGCCAUCCCGCGUGCAGGAUGACAGCCCUACGGGUUGUAAACUGCUUUGUUAGGAAGAAACCCUCGAUUUAUCGGGGCUGACGGUACCUUUCGAAUAAGCACCGGCUAACUCCGUGCCAGCAGCCGCGGUAAA